UAGCUCAGUUGGUAGAGCAUCGCCUUUGCACGGCGGUUGUCAGCGGUUCGACUCCG
rnacentral:tRNA from 1 species